UAAUGGGUGGGUAAUACUGGGCGACGUAGCGAGGGGGCAUCUUCUUGCUACCAAAUGAAUUUCGCCCUGGGAGGGGCUCACGUCGUAUUAGCUUGUUGGCGAGGUAACGGCUCACCAAGGCUGAGAUGCGUAGCGGGUGUGAGAGCACGACCCGCGCCACUGGCACUGAGACACUGGCCAGACUCCUACGGGAGGCUGCAGUCGAGGAUCUUCGGCAAUGGGCGCAAGCCUGACCGAGCGACGCCGCGUGUGCGAUGAAGGCCUUCGGGUUGUAAAGCACUGUCGAGGGGGAGGAAGCCGCAAGGUUGACCUAUCCCUGGAGGAAGCACGGGCUAAGUUCGUGCCAGCAGCCGCGGUAAGACGAACCGUGCGAACGUUGUUCGGAAUCACUGGGCUUAAAGGGCGCGUAGGCGGUCGAUCAAGUCCGGGGUGAAAUCUUUCGGCUUAACCGGAAAAGUGCCUUGGAUACUGAUCGGCUGGAGGGAGGUAGGGGGAGCUGGAACUUCCGGUGGAGCGGUGAAAUGCGUUGAUAUCGGAAGGAACUCCGGUGGCGAAAGCGAGCUCCUGGACCUCUUCUGACGCUGAGGCGCGAAAGCCAGGGGAGCAAACGGGAUUAGAUACCCCGGUAGUCCUGGCCCUAAACGAUGGGUACUAGGUUGUGGACUUAACAUGGGUUCACAGCCGAAGCAAAAGUGUUUAGUACCCCGCCUGGGGAGUAUGGUCGCAAGGCUGAAACUCAAAGGAAUUGACGG
rnacentral:rRNA from 1 species